GCCCAAUUGGGCAGAGGGAUCCUCCUCCCAUCAUCACUGGCCCACUGGAAGCCUGCAGUAAGGUCCUCCUGGAGCCUUCUUGAGCUGGCUGACCCCAACUCUCUCAGCCUUUCUUCAUAGUGGAUGUGCUUGAGCCCUCUGAUCGUUUCAGUCAUGUGCUCCAACAGAUUUGUGUCCUUCUUGUGCUGCGAGUUCCUAAGCUAGACACCACACUGCAGGUGGGGUCUCAGCAGAGCAGGGGAAGGUGGCAGAACCAUCUCCCAUAUGUUAGCCAAAUCUCCUGCAGACCUCCAUCUCCAAGAGGAUCACUUGAACAUCCUUCACCACUGCAAUUUCAUUCAACUACUGUUACUUGUUGGAGAAGAUGUGAGCUUUGCCUUCAAGUGGUUAACCUUAUGCUAUGCACCUAUUUGUUUAUCAAGGCUCCUUAAUUUCUAAUGUGACAGCUCAGUAAAA